rnacentral:misc_RNA from 1 species
UCCGACUUAACGUCGGCAGUCCCUUUAGAGUGCCCAACUAAAUGCUGGCAACUAAAGGCAAGGGUUGCGCUCGUUGCGGGACUUAACCCAACAUCUCACGACACGAGCUGACGACAGCCAUGCAGCACCUAUGCAGCAGCCCGAAGGCGACGACAUCUCUGCCGUCUUCCACUGCAUUUCGAGCCCAGGUAAGGUUUUUCGCGUUGCAUCGAAUUAAACCACAUGCUCCACCGCUUGUGCGGGCCCCCGUCAAUUUCUUUGAGUUUUAACCUUGCGGCCGUACUCCCCAGGCGGGACACUUAACGCGUUAGCUUCGGCACUGAAGGGGUCAAUACCUCCAACACCAAGUGUCCAUCGUUUACGGCGUGGACUAC